CUGAUCCAGCAAUGCCGCGUGAGUGAAGAAGGCCUUCGGGUUGUAAAGCUCUUUUGUCAGGGAAGAAACAGCAGCUCUAACACAGUCUGCGAAUGACGGUACCUGAAGAAUAAGCACCGGCUAACUACGUGCCAGCAGCCGCGGUAAUACGUAGGGUGCAAGCGUUAAUCGGAAUUACUGGGCGUAAAGCGUGCGCAGGCGGUUAUGUAAGACAGGCGUGAAAUCCCCGGGCUUAACCUGGGAAUUGCGCUUGUGACUGCAUAGCUAGAGUAUGUCAGAGGGGGGUAGAAUUCCGCGUGUAGCAGUGAAAUGCGUAGAGAUGUGGAGGAAUACCAAUGGCGAAGGCAGCCCCCUGGGAUAAUACUGACGCUCAUGCACGAAAGCGUGGGGAGCAAACAGGAUUAGAUACCCUGGUAGUCCACGCCCUAAACGAUGCUGACUAGUUGUUCGGGAAUUUAUUCCUGAGUAACGUAGCUAACGCGUGAAGUCAGCCGCCUGGGGAGUACGGUCGCAAGAUUAAAACUCAAAGGAAUUGACGGGGACCCGCACAAGCGGUGGAUGAUGUGGAUUAAUUCGAUGCAACGCGAAAAACCUUACCUACCCUUGACAUGCCACUAACGAAGUAGAGAUACAUUAGGUGCCCGUAAGGGAAAGUGGACACAGGUGCUGCAUGGCUGUCGUCAGCUCGUGUCGUGAGAUGUUGGGUUAAGUCCCGCAACGAGCGCAACCCUUGUCUUUAGUUGCUACGCAAGAGCACUCUAAAGAGACUGCCGGUGACAAACCGGAGGAAGGUGGGGAUGACGUCAAGUCCUCAUGGCCCUUAUGGGUAGGGCUUCACACGUCAUACAAUGGUGCAUACAGAGGGUUGCCAACCCGCGAGGGGGAGCUAAUCUCAGAAAAUGCAUCGUAGUCCGGAUCGUAGUCUGCAACUCGACUACGUGAAGCUGGAAUCGCUAGUAAUCGCGGAUCAGAAUGUCGCGGUGAAUACGUUCCCGGGUCUUGUACACACCGCCCGUCACACCAUGGGAGUGGGUUUUGCCAGAAGCCGUUAGCCUAACCGCAAGGAGGGCGACGACCACGGCAGGGUUCAUGACUGGGGUGAAGUCGUAACAAGGU
rnacentral:rRNA from 1 species